AUUGAACGCUGGCGGAAUGCUUUACACAUGCAAGUCGAACGGCAGCACGGACUUCGGUCUGGUGGCGAGUGGCGAACGGGUGAGUAAUGUAUCGGAACGUGCCCAGUCGUGGGGGAUAACGUAGUGAAAAUUACGCUAAUACCGCAUACGAUCUAUGGAUGAAAGCGGGGGAUCGCAAGACCUCGCGCGAUUGGAGCGGCCGAUAUCAGAUUAGGUAGUUGGUGGGGUAAAGGCCCACCAAGCCAACGAUCUGUAGCUGGUCUGAGAGGACGACCAGCCACACUGGAACUGAGACACGGUCCAGACGCCUGCGGGAGGCAGCAGUGGGGAAUUUUGGACAAUGGGCGAAAGCCUGAUCCAGCCAUUCCGCGUGCAGGAUGAAGGCCCUCGGGUUGUAAACUGCUUUUGUACAGAACGAAAAGGUUUCUACUAAUACUAGGAGCUCAUGACGGUACUGUAAGAAUAAGCACCGGCUAACUACGUGCCAGCAGCCGCGGUAA
rnacentral:rRNA from 1 species